rnacentral:lncRNA from 1 species
UUGAUAAAACAUAAAAUUAAAUUGUAUGUUUGACAAGUAUGCUUUAUAUAUACAUGAACCAUUCGUUAUUAUGUUGGGCUUCGAGGGGGUGUAUGACGAAAAUUAAUUAAAAAUGGAUUUUUAUAAUAUAUACUUCAAAGGAACAAAAGUUAUUAUUUAAUUGGAAACGGGGGGCGCGGUAGAAAUUUGGGGGGUGCACUAGAAGUUUGGAGGAGGGAAAAAAAUUGGGGGCGCGCUA